rnacentral:misc_RNA from 1 species
AAUUCUCAAACCUUCUUGGUUUAUUGACCAAAGAUGGCUUUGGACUUUGGAGGCAUUUUGCUGGCUUUGUAAAAAGUCGGCUCCUCUUAAAUGCAUUAGUGGGGUCCUCUUUGCCGAUCCCCAGGCGUGAUAAGAUGUUUCUACGUCUUGGGAUUUGCUCUGUUCCUUGGGAACCUGCUUCCAACCGUCUCACGGGAGACGUCGUCCGAGUUUGGCUCGGCCCACGAA